rnacentral:rRNA from 1 species
GGCCGGCGUGCUUAACACAUGCAAGUCGAACGAGAACGGAUUAUAGCUUGCUAUAAUUGUCAGCUAAGUGGCGCACGGGUGAGUAAUAUAUAGAUAACCUGCCCUCUAGAAAGGAAUAACAGUUGGAAACGACUGCUAAUGCCCUAUAUGCCUUUAAUACAUAAGUAUGCAAGGGAAACGCUUUAGUGCUUAAGGAUGGGUCUGUAUGGUAUCAGCUUGUUGGUGAGGUAAUGGCUCACCAAGGCUAUGACGCCUAACUGGUUUGAGAGGAUGAUCAGUCACACUGGAACUGAGACACGGUCCAGACUCCUACGGGAGGCAGCAGUGGGGAAUAUUGCACAAUGGACGAAAGUCUGAUGCAGCAACGCCGCGUGGAGGAUGACACAUUUCGGUGCGUAAACUCCUUUUAUAUAGGAAGAUAAUGACGGUACUAUAUGAAUAAGCACCGGCUAACUCCGUG